GUGAGGAAUAUUGGUCAAUGGGCGAGAGCCUGAACCAGCCAAGUAGCGUGAAGGAUGAAGGUCCUAUGGAUUGUAAACUUCUUUUAUAGUAGAAUAAAGUGAUCCACGUGUGGAUUUUUGUAUGUAUACUAUGAAUAAGGAUCGGCUAACUCCGUGCCAGCAGCCGCGGUAAUACGGAGGAUCCGAGCGUUAUCCGGAUUUAUUGGGUUUAAAGGGUGCGUAGGCGGAAUAAUAAGUCAGUUGUGAAAGUUUGCGGCUCAACCGUAAAAUUGCAGUUGAUACUGUUAUUCUUGAGUGUACAUAAGGUAGGCGGAAUUCGUGGUGUAGCGGUGAAAUGCUUAGAUAUCACGAAGAACUCCAAUUGCGAAGGCAGCUUACCGGGGUACAACUGACGCUGAGGCACGAAAGUGUGGGUAUCAAACAGGAUUAGAUACCCCAGUAGUCC
rnacentral:rRNA from 1 species